rnacentral:rRNA from 1 species
AGAGUUUGAUCAUGGCUCAGAUUGAACGCUGGCGGAAUGCUUUACACAUGCAAGUCGAACGGCAGCACGGACUUCGGUCUGGUGGCGAGUGGCGAACGGGUGAGUAAUAUAUCGGAACGUAUCCAAUAAUGGGGGAUAACUAAUCGAAAGGUUGGCUAAUACCGCAUACGCCCUACGGGGGAAAGCUAGGGACCUUCGGGCCUGGCGUUAAUGGAGCGGCCGAUAUCUGAUUAGCUAGUUGGUGAGGUAAAGGCUCACCAAGGCGACGAUCAGUAGCUGGUCUGAGAGGACGACCAGCCACACUGGAACUGAGACACGGUCCAGACUCCUACGGGAGGCAGCAGUGGGGAAUUUUGGACAAUGGGCGAAAGCCUGAUCCAGCCAUUCCGCGUGAGUGAAGAAGGCCUUCGGGUUGUAAAGCUCUUUCGCAAGGGAAGAAAGAUUACUCUCUAACAUAGAGUAAUUAUGACGGUACCUUGAUAAGAAGCACCGGCUAACUACGUGCCAGCAGCCGCGGUAAUACGUAGGGUGCGAGCGUUAAUCGGAAUUACUGGGCGUAAAGCGUGCGCAGGCGGUUUUGUAAGUCAGAUGUGAAAUCCCCGAGCUCAACUUGGGAACUGCGUUUGAAACUACAAGACUAGAAUAUGUCAGAGGGGGGUAGAAUUCCACGUGUAGCAGUGAAAUGCGUAGAGAUGUGGAGGAAUACCAAUGGCGAAGGCAGCCCCCUGGGAUAAUAUUGACGCUCAUGCACGAAAGCGUGGGGAGCAAACAGGAUUAGAUACCCCGGUAGUCC